rnacentral:rRNA from 1 species
AUACGGAGGGUGCAAGCGUUAAUCGGAAUUACUGGGCGUAAAGCGCGCGUAGGCGGCUCGAUAAGUCGGAUGUGAAAGCCCCGGGCUCAACCUGGGAACUGCAUUCGAAACUGCCGAGCUAGAGUUUGCUAGAGGAGAGUGGAAUUCCACAUGUAGCGGUGAAAUGCGUAGAUAUGUGGAGGAACACCAGUGGCGAAGGCGGCUCUCUGGAUCAAAACUGACGCUGAGGUGCGAAAGCGUGGGUAGCAAACAGAAUUAGAAACCCCGGUAGUCC